AAGAUCAUGCUUUCAGGGAUCAUUUCUAUAGUUAAUAACUAGAGAAGUGCUUUCGAAAGUGAUCGGAACGUCCAACCACGAGGAGGAGAUGAAGUGUGUUCUCUUGAGCGUGAAACAAAUAGGAAAUGUUUUCAGCUUUUCCUGUUAUUGAGGAUCGUUCUACCUUCUUUUUAAGAAGGUUGGAGAGAGAACACACAUUCUGAGUGGU